UACGGAGGGAGCUAGCGUUGUUCGGAAUUACUGGGCGUAAAGCGCACUAGGCGGUUAUUCAAGUCAGAGGUGAAAGCCCGGGGCUCAACCCCGGAACUGCCUUUGAAACUAGAUGACUAGAAUCUUGGAGAGGUCAGUGGAAUUCCGAGUGUAGAGGUGAAAUUCGUAGAUAUUCGGAAGAACACCAGUGGCGAAGGCGACUGACUGGACAAGUAUUGACGCUGAGGUGCGAAAGGCGUGGGGAGCAAACAGG
rnacentral:rRNA from 1 species